rnacentral:rRNA from 1 species
CAAUAGCGUAUAUUAUAGUUGUUGCAGUUAAAAAGCUCGUAGUUGGAUUUCUGGUGGGAGCGAUCGGUCUGGCGCUUAGCGCGAGUACUUGCAUCGUCUCCGGCCAUCCUUGGGGAAAGUCUGUCUGGCAUUAAGUUGUCGGGCAGAGGAUCCUCAUCGUUUACUGUGAAAAAAUUAGAGUGUUCAAAGCAGGCUUAUGCCGUUGAAUAUAUUAGCAUGGAAUAAUAAGAUAGGACUUUGGUACUAUUUUGUUGGUUUGCGCACCAAAGUAAUGAUUAAUAGGGACAGUUGGGGGUAUUCGUAUUCCGUUGUCAGAGGUGAAAUUCUUGGAUUUACGGAAGACGAACUACUGCGAAAGCAUUUACCAAGGAUGUUUUCAUUAA